UACAGGGGGUGCAAACGUUGCUCGGAAUCAUUGGGCGUAAAGCGCACGUAGGCGGUCUGUUAUGUCGGAUGUGAAAGCCCUUGGCUCAACUGAGGAAGUGCAUCCGAAACUGGCAGGCUAGAGUACUAAAGAGGAUCGCGGAAUUCCCGGUGUAGAGGUGAAAUUCGUAGAUAUUCGGAAGAACACCAGUGGCGAAGGCGACUUACUGGACACAUAUUGACGCUGAGGUGCGAAAGCGUGGGGAGCAAAGCAGG
rnacentral:rRNA from 1 species